CUGAAUKCUUUCCUCAUUUCCAUUGCUUUAGUUCCCAUUAUUAACAGUAUAAUUGAAAAUUGGAUGUUUGUGAGACARAACAGUGAAAACAAGUGCACUCUAAAAUAAGGAGGUGAGCAGCRUGCAGUCAUUGUCAUAAUAAAUCAUGAAGUACACAAUUCUGCGAAACUUAAUGGAUUACUAGAGAACAGAGGGGCCUUGGUACAAGUCAAGGAGUUUCAGCAAGCAAAAUGAACUACGGAGAACUGCAAUUUUAUUAAACUGCACACAUUUCUAAGAUGGAUUGUGCAGUUAACUGGCAAAUUGGGCUGGAGUUUGUCUUUCCSAUAUUUAUGGGACUGAAAGUACAUAAGAAGCUUUUCUGCCCCAGAGUCCACUGAGCCC
ensembl:lncRNA